UAAAUACUCCCGUGAGACCGAUAGCGAACGAGUACCGUGAGGGAAAGGUGAAAAGUACCCCGGGAGGGGAGUGAAACAGUCUCUGAAACCGUGCGCCUACAAUCCGUCGGAGCCCUUUUGUGGGGUGACGGCGUGCCUAUCGAAAAAUGAGUCUGCGAGUCAGUGGCAUGUGGCGAGCAUAACCCGUGUGGGGUAUGCGUAGCGAAGGCGAGUCUUAAAAGGCGUUUGAGUCGCGUGUCCUGGACCCGAAGCGGGAUGAUCUAGCCCUGGGCAGGUUGAAGCGCGGGUAAGACCGCGUGGAGGACCGAACCCACCUGGGUUGAAAACCGGGGGGAUGACUUGGGGCUAGGGGUGAAAGGCCAAUCAAAUUCCGUGAUAGCUGGUUCUCUCCGAAAUGCAUUUGGGUGCAGCGUCGGGUCAUUACGUCCCGGGGGUAGAGCUACUGGAUGCUUGCGGGCCCGUAUCGGGUACCAACAGCAACCAAACUCCGAAUACCGGUGACGCGUAUCCCGGCAGUGAGUCGGCGGGGGAUAAGCUUCGUCGUCGAAAGGGAAACAGCCCAGACCGUCGUCUAAGGUCCCGAAGCGUGUGCUAAGUGGGAAAGGAUGUGGAGUCGCAUAGACAGCCAGGAGGUUGGCUCAGAAGCAGCCACCCUUGAAAGAGUGCGUAACAGCUCACUGGUCUAGUGGUUCCGCGCCGACAAUGUAGCGGGGCUCAAGCACACCACCGAAGACGCGGCAGUAUUUUGUACUGGGUAGGAGAGCGUCCCAUGAGGGGCGAAGCGGCCGUGUGAACGCGCCGUGGACUUCAUGGGAGUGAGAAUGCAGACAUGAGUAGCGAGAGACGGGUGAAGAUCCCGUCCGCUGGAUGACCAAGGGUUCCAGGGCCACGUUCAUCGUCCCUGGGUGAGUCGGGUCCUAAGGCGAGGCCGACAGGCGUAGUCGAAUGGAUGAACGGGUCGAUAUUCCCGUACCGGCUUUCAGCCGCCAAAACCGAGGCUUGGAGUACUAACCUCCGGGUCCGGGCUUACUGCUCCUUCGGGGGCGGGAUGCCCUGGCCUGUUGGGACCGAUCCUUGUAGUAGGUCAGCGCAGGAGUGACGCAGAAGGGUAGCCGGCCGCGGAGGUGGUCUUCCGUGGUCAAGCACGCAGGGCGUGGGACAGGCAAAUCCGUCCCGCAUGGGUCCGAGGUGCGAUGAUGGGGGCCUUAUGGCCCGAUAUCCGGUGAUCCCGGCUGCCGAGAAAAGCUUCGGCGUCAGGCUCAAAGCCGCCCGUACCCCAAACCGACACUGGUGGUCAGGUAGAGAAUACCAAAGCGAUCGAGCGAAUCCUGGUCAAGGAACUCGGCAAAUCACUCCCGUUCCUUCGGUUUAAGGGAGACCCCCGAUGGUGAACCGCCUCGCGCGGGGAGCUUUUGGGGGUGGCACAGACCAGGGGGUAGCGACUGUUUACCAAAAACACAGGUGCAUGCGAAGGCGCAAGCCGCUGUAUAUGCACUGACGCCUGCCCGGUGCCGGAAGGUUAAGAGGAUCCGUCAGCCUUCGGGUGAAGCGGUGAAUUCAAGCCCCGGUAAACGGCGGUGGUAACUAUAACCAUCCUAAGGUAGCGAAAUUCCUUGUCGGGUAAGUUCCGACCUGCACGAAUGGCGUAACGACUUCCCCACUGUCUCGACCAGGAGCUCGGCGAAAUUGCAGUACGAGUAAAGAUGCUCGUUAAGCGCAGAAGGACGAAAAGACCCCGGGACCUUUACUAUACCUUGGUAUUGGCAUUCGGUGUGGAUUGUGUAGCAUAGGCGGGAGGCCGAGAGGCGCGGUCGCCAGAUCGCGCGGAGCCGUAAGGUGAAAUACCGCUCUGUUCGCAUUGGAUGUCUAACCUCGAACAGUCAUCCUGUUCAGGGACAGUGCCUGGCGGGUAGUUUAACUGGGGCGGUUGCCUCCCAAAGAGUAACGGAGGCGCUCAAAGGUCCGCUCAGCCCGGUUGGCAAUCGGGUGGCGAGUGCAAGUGCACAAGCGGGCUUGACUGCGAGGACGACGGUCCGAGCAGGGACGAAAGUCGGGACUAGUGAUCCGGUGCCGG
rnacentral:rRNA from 1 species